AAGGAAGUAGAUCAGCAGGCUGGAUGACUGCCUGACUAGAUAUGGGGAGACGCGAGCGGGAAGUGAGCCUACGCUGACUCUCAGGUUUCUGGCUUACUUAAAGGAGAUGACGGUGGCUUUUAUCAAAACAGAACACAGGAGUGGGAGCAGAUCUUGGGAGGAGCUUGAAGAAAGAUGAUGAGUUUAGUUACAGACUGAUUUUCAAGUGCUAUGGGUCAUCCAGGUGAAGAUGUUCAGUAAUUUAACAAAUAUGUAUCAAGUGUCUCCUAUGUGCUAGGCACUGAUGAGUAUUUGAGGAGAGAGAUUUGGGAGUGAUUUGGGUAUCAUCAAUGUAUCAUAAAAGUUGAAGUCUUGGGAGGGGACAAUCCCACAUUCAGAGACGUGAUGUAGAUUAAGCCAAGAGAGGACUAAGGACAGGACUCAUCUCUGGGAAUGCCAAUAUUUAGGGGGCAGACUUGAGUUGCCAGAACAGAGACCAAAGAGGAGCUGCCAGAAAGGAAAGAAAACGCUUCUGGAGGAGAGUGUCCAAAAAGCCAAGGAAAGAACAAACUUCAGGAAAGAGGGAGAGGCCAACAACAUGGAAUUUCGAGGAGGUCAAUUAAGACCACUGAGUUUUGCAAGAAUAAGGUGCUCAUUAUAAAGCAUCUGAGGAGUUCAGAAGAGCACCAAGAAAUUUAAAAACUAAAGUCCUAAUACCUGUCUUCGACAUUAGGUGAACAUUCCAGACAUAUAUACAGACAGAAGACCACAUGGAUGACUUAUCAAGAAACGAAAAAUGUUUACAAAAAUGAG
rnacentral:lncRNA from 1 species